rnacentral:rRNA from 1 species
UGCAAGUCGAGCGGUAAGGCCCUUCGGGGUACACGAGCGGCGAACGGGUGAGUAACACGUGAGCAACCUGCCCCUGACUCUGGGAUAAGCGGUGGAAACGCCGUCUAAUACCGGAUAUGACCUGUCGCCUCAUGGUGGUGGGUGGAAAGUUUUUCGGUCAGGGAUGGGCUCGCGGCCUAUCAGCUUGUUGGUGGGGUAACGGCCUACCAAGGCGAUUACGGGUAGCCGGCCUGAGAGGGCGACCGGCCACACUGGGACUGAGACACGGCCCAGACUCCUGCGGGAGGCAGCAGUGGGGAAUAUUGCACAAUGGGCGCAAGCCUGAUGCAGCGACGCCGCGUGGGGGAUGACGGCCUUCGGGUUGUAAACCUCUUUUACCACCAACGCAGGCUCCACGUUUUCUUGGGGUUGACGGUAGGUGGGGAAUAAGGACCGGCUAACUACGUGCCAGCAGCCGCGGUAAUACGUAGGGUCCGAGCGUUGUCCGGAAUUAUUGGGCGUAAAGAGCUCGUAGGCGGCGUGUCGCGUCUGCUGUGAAAGACCGGGGCUUAACUCCGGUUCUGCAGUGGAUACGGGCAUGCUAGAGGUAGGUAGGGGAGACUGGAAUUCCUGGUGUAGCGGUGAAAUGCGCAGAUAUCAGGAGGAACACCGGUGGCGAAGGCGGGUCUCUGGGCCUUACCUGACGCUGAGGAGCGAAAGCAUGGGGAGCGAACAGGAUUAGAUACCCUGGUAGUCCAUGCCGUAAACGUUGGGCGCUAGGUGGUGGGGACUUUCCACGGUUUCCGCGCCGUAGCUAACGCAUUAAGCGCCCGCCCUGGGGGAGUACGGCCGCAAGGCUAAAACUC